rnacentral:rRNA from 1 species
ACAAGCGGUGGAGCAUGUGGUUAAUUCGAGGCAACGACGAAGAACCUUACCAGGUCUUGACAUCCCGAUGCUAUUCCUAGAGAUAGGAAGUUUCUUCGGAACAUCGGUGACAGGUGGUGCAUGGGUUGUCGUCAGCUCGUGUCGUGAGAUGUUGGGGUUAAGUCCCGCAACGAGCGCAACCCCUACGUUAGUUGCUAACGCGUGAAGGCGAGCACUCUAGACGAACUGCCGUUGACAAACGGAGGAAGGUGGGGAUGACGUCAGAUCAUCAUGCCCCUUAUGUUCUGGGCUACACACGUGCUACAAUGGCCGGUACAGACGGACGCAAAGCCGCGAGGUGGAGCAAAUCCUAAAAAGCCGGUCUCAGUUCGGAUUGCAGGCUGCAAUUCGCCUGCAUGAAGUCGGAAUCGCUAGUAAUCGCAGGUCAGCAUACUGCGGUGAAUACGUUCCCGGGCCUU